rnacentral:lncRNA from 1 species
GGAUGAUAACCUACAGGUUCAGAAAAAUGCAGAGACGAUGGAGUGUGUUGUUUCUAGACUCUCCCUGAGAUUCAGAGCCAUUUGCUGACUGCAAGAUCUCAAUUAAUUUAGAAAAUCCAAAAUUUUAUCGGUACAUGGAGGCGCUAGAUAGGAAUACCCUCUAAAGAAAAUGGAUGGAGAAGUUGCCUUGGGGAAGAGAACCAGAUGGACCAUGUGGCUUUUACUUAGUCUUAAAGGUACAGAAGAAAGAAGCAAGCCUUUAGGAUCCUACUCACUUGAUUUGUAGGAAGGAAGAGGCAAUGGGACACGUGAAUGAAGUUAAUAGGACACAGGACUCAAUUCUGGAUGCCAUGUUGCAUUUGGUUAUCCCGUAUUAGGCGUUUUCAAUCUUUGAAAGUUUCCUGGUCUUUUAAAUCAUGAUUGACUGUUUUGAAGAGUACUGGAUGUAGAGUUUGUAGAAUGAUCCUUGACUUGGCUAUUUUCUCAGGAUUCGAUUGGGGUUAUGGAUUUAGGGGAAGAAUAUCCAAGAGGUGAAGUGCCCUUUCCAUUGUCUCAUAUUGGGAGGGAUAUGAAAUCAACAAAACUCAUGACUGGUUGUGUUAAUCUCGAUUAAG